rnacentral:rRNA from 1 species
GAUGAACGCUGGCGGCGUGCCUAAUACAUGCAAGUCGAGCGAACGGACGAGAAGCUUGCUUCUCUGAUGUUAGCGGCGGACGGGUGAGUAACACGUGGAUAACCUACCUAUAAGACUGGGAUAACUUCGGGAAACCGGAGCUAAUACCGGAUAAUAUUUUGAACCGCAUGGUUCAAAAGUGAAAGACGGUCUUGCUGUCACUUAUAGAUGGAUCCGCGCUGCAUUAGCUAGUUGGUAAGGUAACGGCUUACCAAGGCAACGAUGCAUAGCCGACCUGAGAGGGUGAUCGGCCACACGGGAACUGAGAAACGGUCCAGACUCCUACGGGAGGCAGCAGUAGGGAAUCUUCCGCAAUGGGCGAAAGCCUGACGGAGCAACGCCGCGUGAGUGAAGAAGGUCUUCGGAUCGUAAAACUCUGUUAUUAGGGAAGAACAUAUGUGUAAGUAACUGUGCACAUCUUGACGGUACCUAAUCAGAAAGCCACGGCUAACUACGUG